rnacentral:rRNA from 1 species
CUGGCGGCGUGCCUAAUACAUGCAAGUCGAACGCACUCUCGUUUAGAUUGAAGGAGCUUGCUCCUGAUUGAUAACAUUUGAGUGAGUGGCGGACGGGUGAGUAACACGUGGGUAACCUGCCCUAAAGUGGGGGAUAACAUUUGGAAACAGAUGCUAAUACCGCAUAAAACCUAACACCGCAUGGUGUAUGGUUGAAAGAUGGUUUCGGCUAUCACUUUAGGAUGGACCCGCGGUGCAUUAGUUAGUUGGUGAGGUAAAGGCUCACCAAGACCGUGAUGCAUAGCCGACCUGAGAGGGUAAUCGGCCACACUGGGACUGAGACACGGCCCAGACUCCUACGGGAGGCAGCAGUAGGGAAUCUUCCACAAUGGACGAAAGUCUGAUGGAGCAACGCCGCGUGAGUGAAGAAGGUUUUCGGAUCGUAAAACUCUGUUGUUGGAGAAGAAUGUAUCUGAUAGUAACUGAUCAGGUAGUGACGGUAUCCAACCAGAAAGCCACGGCUAACUACGUG